rnacentral:rRNA from 1 species
NACUUUCAACAACGGAUCUCUUGGCUCUCGCAUCGAUGAAGAACGCAGCGAAAUGCGAUAAGUAAUGUGAAUUGCAGAUUUUCAGUGAAUCAUCGAAUCUUUGAACGCACCUUGCGCCCCUUGGUAUUCCGAGGGGCAUGCCUGUUUGAGUGUCAUU